rnacentral:rRNA from 1 species
GAAUCCUGUCCACCGAAUGACUAAGGUUUCCUGGGGAAGGCUCGUCCUCCCAGGGUAAGUCGGGACCUAAGCCGAGGCCGAGAGGCGUAGGCGAUGGAUAACAGGUUGAGAUUCCUGUACCAGUUAACUGCGUUUGACGAUGGAGGGACGCAGGAGGCUAAGCAAACCGUACGACUGGAAGAGUACGGCCAAGCAGUAAGUCAGGAUGUGAGUCAAAUGUUUACAUCCGUGUUGACAAGCUGUGAUGGGGAG